AAAAGUGCGUCGUAGUCCGGAUUGGAGUCUGCAACUCGACUCCAUGAAGUCGGAAUCGCUAGUAAUCGUGGAUCAGAAUGCCACGGUGAAUACGUUCCCGGGCCUUGUACACACCGCCCGUCACACCAUGGGAGUGGGCUGCAAAAGAAGCAGGUAGUUUAACCUUCGGGAGGACGCUUGCCACUUUGUGGUUCAUGACUGGGGUGAAGUCGUAACAAGGUAGCGCUAGGGGAACCUGGCGCUGGAUCACCUCCUUA
rnacentral:rRNA from 1 species